rnacentral:rRNA from 1 species
GAUGAACGCUGGCGGCGUGCCUAAUACAUGCAAGUCGAGCGAACAGAUAAGGAGCUUGCUCCUUUGACGUUAGCGGCGGACGGGUGAGUAACACGUGGGUAACCUACCUAUAAGACUGGAAUAACUCCGGGAAACCGGGGCUAAUGCCGGAUAACAUUUAGAACCGCAUGGUUCUAAAGUGAAAGAUGGUUUUGCUAUCACUUAUAGAUGGACCCGCGCCGUAUUAGCUAGUUGGUAAGGUAACGGCUUACCAAGGCAACGAUACGUAGCCGACCUGAGAGGGGGAUCGGCCACACUGGAACUGAGACACGGUCCAGACUCCUACGGGAGGCAGCAGUAGGGAAUCUUCCGCAAUGGGCGAAAGCCUGACGGAGCAACGCCGCGUGAGUGAUGAAGGUCUUCGGAUCGUAAAACUCUGUUAUUAGGGAAGAACAAAUGUGUAAGUAACUGUGCACGUCUUGACGGUACCUAAUCAGAAAGCCACGGCUAACUACGU